UACGUAGGGUGCAAGCGUUAAUCGGAAUUACUGGGCGUAAAGCGUGCGCAGGCGGUUGUGUAAGACAGGUGUGAAAUCCCCGGGCUUAACCUGGGAACUGCAUUUGUGACUGCACGGCUAGAGUGUGUCAGAGGGGGGUGGAAUUCCACGUGUAGCAGUGAAAUGCGUAGAUAUGUGGAGGAACACCAAUGGCGAAGGCAGCCCCCUGGGAUAACACUGACGCUCAGGCACGAAAGCGUGGGGAGCAAACAGG
rnacentral:rRNA from 1 species